AUACGUAGGGUGCAAGCGUUAAUCGGAAUUACUGGGCGUAAAGCGUGCGCAGGCGGUUUUUUAAGACAGUGGUGAAAUCCCCCGGCUCAACCUGGGAACUGCCAUUGUGACUGGAAGGCUGGAGUGCGGUAGAGGGGGGUGGAAUUCCGUGUGUAGCAGUGAAAUGCGUAGAUAUGCGGAGGAACACCGAUGGCGAAGGCAAUCCCCUGGGCCUGCACUGACGCUCAUGCACGAAAGCGUGGGGAGCAAACAGGAUUAGAUACCCUGGUAGUCCACGCCCUAAACGAUGUCAACUGGUUGUUGGGGAUUUAUUUUCUCAGUAACGAAGCUAACGCGUGAAGUUGACCGCCUGGGGAGUACGGCCGCAAGGUUAAAACUCAAAGGAAUUGACGGGG
rnacentral:rRNA from 1 species